rnacentral:rRNA from 1 species
UGGGGAAUUUUGGACAAUGGGGGAAACCCUGAUCCAGCCAUCCCGCGUGUGCGAUGAAGGCCUUCGGGUUGUAAAGCACUUUUAGCAGGAAAGAAACGUCAUGGGUUAAUACCCCGUGAAACUGACGGUACCUGCAGAAUAAGCACCGGCUAACUACGUGCCAGCAGCCGCGGUAAUACGUAGGGUGCAAGCGUUAAUCGGAAUUACUGGGCGUAAAGCGUGCGCAGGCGGUUCGGAAAGAAAGAUGUGAAAUCCCAGAGCUCAACUUUGGAACUGCAUUUUUAACUACCGGGCUAGAGUGUGUCAGAGGGAGGUGGAAUUCCGCGUGUAGCAGUGAAAUGCGUAGAUAUGCGGAGGAACACCGAUGGCGAAGGCAGCCUCCUGGGAUAACACUGACGCUCAUGCACGAAAGCGUGGGGAGCAAACAGG